UGCGCAUGCUGUUGAUCACUGGAUUGUCUGAUCUAGACUCGAUUAUUUACAGACCACUGCCAUAUAGUUGGAAUAUUGCUGAGUGCGGUGUAAAACUAAAUUCACCCAUUCACAGUUAUAAUUUGUUCAUAAACACACACAUAAAAAUAAAUU